rnacentral:misc_RNA from 1 species
CAGAGCUCGUGCCCACCCGGGUAGAACUCCCACCCACUGUUAUCGCUACGAUCGUUGCUUUGGCGGGCCGCCGGGCGCGCGCCCGCCAGAGGCCCACAGACUCUGAAUGUUAGCGUCGUCUGAGCACUACACAAUAGUCA